rnacentral:misc_RNA from 1 species
GCACAAGUAGCGGACUUGGUGAUAGGAACAGCAUUUACAGCAGAGUUUCAAUAUCUACUGUUGCAUUAUUUACGUUGGCCAUGGCUGCUGCCCCCGGGUUAGGUGCAGUGCCCUUCUUUUUUUUACAGCUGGGUCCUCUCAGUGGGCUGGAUUAUGCAAUGGGAUGGCUGCUGGAGUGAUGUUGGCUGCUAGUUUUGACCUAAUACAGGAAGGGCAGAAUCAUGGUGCGGGUAAUUGGGUUGUGAUCGGGAUUUUAUCUGGUGGAAUUUUCAUUUUGCUUUGCAAGAAGUUUCUUGAACAAUACGGGGAAGUAAGUAUGUUGGAUAUAAAAGGUGCAGAUGCAACAAAAGUUGUUCUUGUUAUUGGAAUUAUGACUCUUCAUUCAUUUGGAGA